rnacentral:rRNA from 1 species
AGACGUCUACAUUAGAUACCCCCGUAGUCCCAGCCGUAAACUAUGCGCGUUAGGUGUAUCGGUGACCACGAGUUACCGAGGUGCCGAAGGGAAACCGUGAAACGUGCCGCCUGGGAAGUACGGUCGCAAGGCUGAAACUUAAAGGAAUUGGCGGGGAGCACCACAACGGGUGGAGCCUGCGGUUUAAUUGGACUCAACGCCGGGAAGCUCACCGGAUAAGACAGCUGAAUGAUUGCCGGGCUGAAGACUCUGCAUGACUAGCUG